rnacentral:rRNA from 1 species
UCCCAAGGGUAUGGCUGUUCGCCAUUUAAAGAGGUACGUGAGCUGGGUUCAAAACGUCGUGAGACAGUUUGGUCCCUAUCUGCCGUGGGUGUAGGAUACUUGAGAGGAGCUGUCCUUAGUACGAGAGGACCGGGAUGGACAUACCUCUGGUGUACCAGUUGUUCCGCCAGGAGCAGCGCUGGGUAGCUAUGUAUGGACGGGAUAAACGCUGAAAGCAUCUAAGCGUGAAGCCUCCCUCAAAACAAGGUAUCCCUAUCAGAGCCGUGGAAGACCACCACGUUGAUAGGCUGGAUGUGGAAGGGUAGUAAUACCUGCAGCUAACCAGUACUAAUUGCUCGAUUGGCUUGAAUUC